rnacentral:rRNA from 1 species
GUGAACGCUGGCGGUAGGCCUAACACAUGCCAGUCGAACGGCAGCACAGUAAGAGCUUGCUCUUACGGGUGGCGAGUGGCGGACGGGUGAGGAAUACAUCGGAAUCUACUUUUUCGUGGGGGAUAACGUAGGGAAACUUACGCUAAUACCGCAUACGACCUACGGGUGAAAGCAGGGGAUCUUCGGACCUUGCGCGAUUGAAUGAGCCGAUGUCGGAUUAGCUAGUUGGCGGGGUAAAGGCCCACCAAGGCGACGAUCCGUAGCUGGUCUGAGAGGAUGAUCAGCCACACUGGAACUGAGACACGGUCCAGACUCCUACGGGAGGCAGCAGUGGGAAUAUUGGACAAUGGGCGCAAGCCUGAUCCAGCCAUACCGCGUGGGUGAAGAAGGCCUUCGGGUUGUAAAGCCCUUUUGUUGGGAAAGAAAAGCAGCAGGUUAAUACCCCGCUGUUCUGACGGUACCCAAAGAAUAAGCACCGGCUAACUUCGUG